rnacentral:rRNA from 1 species
GAUGAACGCUGACAGCAUGCUUAACACAUGCAAGUCUUUGGCGAAGCUGUGCUUGCACAGCCUAGCCAAGGCGGACGGGUGAGUAACGCGUCAGGAACUUGCCCUGCAGUCAGGGAUAACAGACGGAAACGACUGAUAAGACCUGGUAAAGUCAGGCGGACUCAUGUCCAGCCUGAUGAAAAGAGAUGCUGCAGGAGAGCCUUGCGUCCUAUUAGCUUGUUGGUGGGGUAACGGCCCACCAAGGCGAUGAUAGGUAGCCGGCCUGAGAGGGUGGACGGCCACAAGGGGACUGAGAUACGGCCCUUACUCCUACGGGAGGCAGCAGUGGGGAAUAUUGGACAAUGGGGGCAACCCUGAUCCAGCAAUUCUGUGUGCACGAUGAAGGUUUUCGGAUUGUAAAGUGCUUUCAGCAGGGAAGAAAAAAAUGACGGUACCUGCAGAAGAAGCGACGGCUAAAUACGUG